rnacentral:rRNA from 1 species
CCUACGGGAGGCAGCAGUAGGGAAUCUUUCACAAUGGGCGAAAGCCUGAUGGAGCACCGCCGCGUGCAGGAUGAAGGCCUUCGGGUUGUAAACUGCUUUUAUAAGCGAGAAAUAUGAUGGUAACUUAUGAAUAAGGAUCGGCUAACUACGUGCCAGCAGCCGCGGUCAUACGUAGGAUCCGAGCAUUAUCCGGAGUGACUGGGUGUAAAGAGUUGCGUAGGUGGCAUAAUAAGUAGCUAGUGAAAUCUGGUGGCUCAACCAUUCAGAUUAUUAGCUAAACUGUUAAGCUCGAGACCGUUAGGGGUAACUGGAAUUUCUAGUGUAGGAGUGAAAUCCGUAGAUAUUAGAAGGAACACCAAUAGCGUAGGCAGGUUGCUGGGACGGUUCUGACACUAAGGCACGAAAGCGUAGGGAGCAAACGGGAUUAGAUACCCGGGUAGUC